ACAACAAAAACAUAACAGCGGAGAUUGUAAUCUCACUUCGAUUGUUUCUGAUAUUUACCAGCACACCUUUAUUUUAAAUACUUUUCCGCAGGAUUGUGGUGGAGACCCUUCAGGCCAAGGGAUCCAGUCGAACCAAAAUGUGGAAAUGCGUACUGUCCUCUCGGAAACAAGCUCGCCUGUUUGCUACAAAAAGAACAGGUCUACACCCAGUGCAUUUCUGACUGGGUCCCAUGCGGAACCUUUUGGUUACGCAAAUGCUGGGCCUCCAGAGCUUGGCCGCGCUGCAAACUCACAAGAUACGGAUGUGUGUGCCGGUGCUAGACAGAGACACACCUUUUGCAUCGACCGGGCUGCAGAAGCAAUGCCGUCCAGGUAAAAAUAAAGUGCUUUCCUUUGAUCAAGGCCUUCAACAUGUCUAUUUUUUGUGCGAAAAUAAGAGAAAUGGCAUUCUACAAUAAA